CCCGCAGGCCAUCUUAUCGCUUCCCGGUCCCGAUAACUAUCGGGAUCCGGGGAGAGGAAAGUCCGGACACCACAGCGCAGCGUAGCGGGUAACACCCGCCCCCCGGCUUACCGGGAGAGGACAAGUGCAACAGAAAGGAUGUACAGGUAAUGCUGUAGUGAAAUCAGGUAAACUCUACGCGGUGCAACGCCAUGUAUACCGGCAUUUAAGGGUUGCGCGCCCGAUCCCGAUAACUAUCGGGGUGCCGGAGGGUAGGCGGUUAGAGAUCCCGGGUAACCGGUAUCCCAGAUAAAUGAUAAGACUCGACAGAAUCCGGCUUACAGGCCUGCUUUUUUU
rnacentral:RNase_P_RNA from 1 species